rnacentral:rRNA from 1 species
GCUGUCCUAUGCAGGGGGACAACAGUUGGAAACGGCUGCUAAUACCCCAUAAGCCGAGAGGUAAAAGGAUUUAUCCGGCAAAGGAGGCACUCGCGUCCUAUCAGCUAGUAGGUUGGGUAACGGCCGACCUAGGCGAAGACGGGUAGCCGGCCUGAGAGGGCGAACGGCCACACUGGAACUGAGAUACGGUCCAGACUCCUACGGGAGGCAGCAGUGGGGAAUAUUGGGCAAUGGGGGGAACCCUGACCCAGCGACGCCGCGUGGGUGAAGAAAUCCUUCGGGAUGUAAAGCCCUGUUGUAUGGGAAGAGUAGAAGACGGUACCAUACGAGGAAGCCCCGGCAAACUACGUGCCAGCAGCCGCGGUAAUACGUAGGGGGCAAGCGUUGUCCGGAAUUACUGGGCGUAAAGCGCACGCAGGCUGACUUAUAAGUCGGUAGUCUAAUGCGGAGGCUCAACUUCCGUUUAUCUAUCGAUACUGUAAGACUAGAGUAUGUGAGAGGGAAGUGGAAUUCCCGGUGUAGCGGUGAAAUGCGUAAAUAUCGGGAGGAACACCAGUGGCGAAGGCGACUUCCUGGCACAAUACUGACGCUCAUGUGCGAAAGCUAGGGUAGCGAACGGGAUUAGAUACCCCGGUAGUCCUAACCGUAAACGAUGGAUACUA